rnacentral:rRNA from 1 species
GACGAACGCUGGCGGCGUGCUUAACACAUGCAAGUCGAACGGAAAGGCCCUGCUUUUGUGGGGUUCUCGAUUGGCGAACGGGUGAGUAACACGUGAGUAACCUGCCCUUGACUUUGGGAUAACUUCAGGAAACUGGGGCUAAUACCGGAUAGGAGCUCCUGCUGCAUGGUGGGGGUUGGAAAGUUUCGGCGGUUGGGGAUGGACUCGCGGCUUAUCAGCUUGUUGGUGGGGUAGUGGCUUACCAAGGCUUUGACGGGUAGCCGGCCUGAGAGGGUGACCGGCCACAUUGGGACUGAGAUACGGACCAGACUCCUACGGGAGGCAGCAGUGGGGAAUAUUGCACAAUGGGAGGAAGCCUGAUGAAGCAACGCCGCGUGCGGGAUGACGGCCUUCGGGUUGUAAACCGCUUUAGCCUGUGACGAAGCGUGAGUGACGGUAAUGGGUAAAGAAGCACCGGCUAACUACGUG